UCUAUGUCUGUGGUUGAAAGUCGAUGCCAGACGCAGGCAAAGCGAUCCACGUAAGUCGGAUAAAAUGUUCGAUGAUCAUGGUGCGUCUUAGAAGUAAGUCCAUCCGCCCAGGGGCGAGAGGAGCAGUAGUGGGGAAGCAGGUGCUUUAGGAGCGAACCUCCCAGAUGGCGAGUGUGGGGGCAAAAAUCAGGUCAGAUAG
rnacentral:ncRNA from 1 species